rnacentral:rRNA from 1 species
CAAUAGCGUAUAUUUAAGUUGCUGCAGUUAAAAAGCUCGUAGUUGGAUUUCGGGUGGGAAUGGCCGGUCCGCCGUUUCGGUGUGCACUUGCUACGCCCACCUUGCUGCCGGGGACGUGCUCUUGAGUUCACGCUCGGGACACGGAGUCGGCGAGGUUACUUUGAGUAAAUUAGAGUGUUCAAAGCAGGCCUACGCUCUGAAUACAUUAGCAUGGAAUAACACGAUAGGACUCUGGCCUAUCUUGUUGGUCUGUAGGACCGGAGUAAUGAUUAAGAGGGACAGUCGGGGGCAUUCGUAUUUCAUUGUCAGAGGUGAAAUUCUUGGAUCUAUGAAAGACGAACUACUGCGAAAGCAUUUGCCAAGGAUGUUUUCAUUAA